rnacentral:tRNA from 1 species
UGGGGAUUCGCCUAGUUGGUCUAAGGCAUGGGACUUUGACUCCCACAUCGUAGGUUCGAAUCCUACAUCCUCUGCCA